ACGCUGGCGGCAGGCCUAACACAUGCAAGUCGAACGAACUCUUCGGAGUUAGUGGCGGACGGGUGAGUAACACGUGGGAACGUGCCUUUUGGUUCGGAAUAACUCAGGGAAACUUGUGCUAAUACCGAAUGUGCCCUUCGGGGGAAAGAUUUAUCGCCAUUAGAGCGGCCCGCGUCUGAUUAGCUAGUUGGUGAGGUAAAGGCUCACCAAGGCGACGAUCAGUAGCUGGUCUGAGAGGAUGAUCAGCCACAUUGGGACUGAGACACGGCCCAAACUCCUACGGGAGGCAGCAGUGGGGAAUCUUGCGCAAUGGGCGAAAGCCUGACGCAGCCAUGCCGCGUGAAUGAUGAAGGUCUUAGGAUUGUAAAAUUCUUUCACCGGGGACGAUAAUGACGGUACCCGGAGAAGAAGCCCCGGCUAACUUCGUGCCAGCAGCCGCGGUAAUACGAAGGGGGCUAGCGUUGCUCGGAAUUACUGGGCGUAAAGGGAGCGUAGGCGGACAUUUAAGUCAGGGGUGAAAUCCCGGGGCUCAACCUCGGAAUUGCCUUUGAUACUGGGUGUCUUGAGUAUGAGAGAGGUAUGUGGAACUCCGAGUGUAGAGGUGAAAUUCGUAGAUAUUCGGAAGAACACCAGUGGCGAAGGCGACAUACUGGCUCAUUACUGACGCUGAGGCUCGAAAGCGUGGGGAGCAAACGAUAAUACCCUGACCAAGGGCAAUUCCGGCCG
rnacentral:rRNA from 1 species